UGUCACCUAUUCUCACACUGGGAUCUCAGAAUUAGUCACAGACUUCACCUGUGCCAUUUAUACUAUGUGGUGUGUAGGGAAGGAAUCUCAAGCUUUCUAAUUGCUCCUGUUUAAUAAUGAAGUGAAACAAGAUCCUUAAUGACUUUGGGCUGAUGGAAGAAUCCUAAUUUUAAAUAAGCUUAACACAAAACCUCAUUUACAUGCUGAGGUCAUAUUAUUCAGAGGUAUACAUUCAUUUAUGUGGUGCUGGACACAUGAGAGAAUGGGAUGUUACAAAUUUCGACAGCCAAGGAGGAUUAAAUGCUCACAAAUGCAUGGUUGUAAAUGUUGGCCCAAGAAAUGAAGCACAGUGUGGAGGAGAAGUAAUAUGGAACAGAAUUGUUAAUGACACAUUUAUUCUAUAAUGUACAACCCAGGAUGAAUCAGUGAAUUAGUUACUAUUGACAUGAGAACCAGACAAAUACCAUCCUGUAAUUUCAUUCCUGCUGUUUCACUUAUAUUCCUUCCUUGUUUAUUGUGCAUUUCUAAACCCCUCCCUGAUUGUUGCCACCCAACAGUUUUGCUCACCUCCUGUUUUAUUGCAUAGCCUAUAACUUCAAGGGUAGCAACAAGGAGCAUGUUCAGGGCUUAGCUUAUUUCUUAUCUCCUUCAUGCUGAUGCCACAGCUCAAUGUCCAAGAGAUAACAAUGAAGAUAGCUAAGGCCAUGCUCAACUGCACGACUCGUGUAGAGGAAGUAGGAAAACAGAGACCUUCACUGAUAGAUUUAAGUGUUAUACUUUAUUAGUAGGUGAAUUUUCCAGCAUCCUCCUAAGUACGUGCCUCUUCACAUCCAUCCCCAUGCUUGGGGGCACAUGCAUAGGCUGGCCUUUUUGUUUGUUUGUUUAAGAAAUAAUACACUAUUGGUUUAAACACUGAGCUGUAAUUGGCUCUCAGCAUUUGAUCAUUCAGUGUAGACUGGGUUUUCACAGCUUGCUGUAAUACGUCUAUAUAGGUUAGGAUUUUGAAAGCCCUUUUUAGGGAAAAUGCAUGUUUUUCCAUUUUCUUGCACUAUGAUAGAAAAGAAUUAAUGCACUUUUCAGGUGCAGAAAUCAUCUUGUAUUCUCUCAUUAUUCAGUACUGAUCUUUUAUAAUUUUAGUCUUUAACCAAUGUUUAAGAGAGCAGAAAAUGUGAAUGUUUUAUAACAAUAUCUGCAAUCCUUAGGAUAAACAGGAAAUUAUUUAACGCUUUAGAUGUGCUUCAGAGAAACAUGACUUUUCAUUAUGUUAUUUACAGUCAAGGAAUUUAAAUGAUUCACAGCAUUUAAACUUUGUGAAAGAAAACAUGUAUGAGAAAGGGAAUAUAAAUGAAAGAUAUUUUGCUGGUUAAAUCACAGCCUGACUCCAUUUCUUUUUUGGGUAAGCUGAUGAAGCUCAGAGUAAAACAGAUUUGUCUAAAUCCUUGUUUUCUUUUCCAACCUCCUCUUCCUCAGAUCCUUUUUAAUCAACAAUUCAUGAGAUUGUGCAGGGACUCUAAACAUUUCAAAGAAUAUACUUUCUCUUCCAUAGUUCUCAUUUCUGUGCUCUUCUACAAACCCAUGGUUCUCCAGUAUUACAAAAUAAUGAGGACAAUUGUUUCAUUUGUAAAUACUGGAACCACUGAACUGAAGAGAAAAAGGAGAUAAACUUAGUAUAAUUUCUAUGAAAGAUUUCCCUUUCAUAAGACUGCUGCUGGUAUAAAUAUUUUAAACUCAUACAAUUUAAUCAUUUACCUCAUGCUUAUUUUUCCUUAUUCUCAAUUUAUUCAAGUUUUCCAUAGCUUAAUAGAGUCUAAUAUUACUGUUCUACCUACCACCGAAACUACUAAAAGUAAAUUAUGUAAAUUAAAUUGUUAACUAUAGGAACUUGCUUAUUUUUACUUUUAGUAUGUUGAUCAACUUUAUGCUGGACUAAUGGAUCAAUACAAGGAUGGGAGGAUUUGGAGUUCUAGGCCCAAUCAGAGCUUAAGUAUAUGACUAGAUCUCAUAAACUGUCCAUAAAAUAAGUAACUGCCAAUGCAGAAUGACACCAGUUCAGAUGAGCACACGUGCUGUGACAGUUAAUGAAGGUCAAUAAAGAAGAGUCAGAACUAGAGACCAAUUUCAUUCCUUCUGCAACUUCAUUUGCACAUGUGGUUAUUGAUACGACUAGAUUAAUGGAGUGUUGAAUGCAUUUGCUAAGCCACCUUCCAUCAUAUUUGAGCAGUUGAGACAGUCUGAAUUGAAGUUCCCACUGGCUGGAAAAGGGGAAAUAUAACCUCAUUUUUAAAAAGGAACAAAAGACAGAUUCCAAGGAAUUACAGACCAGUCAGUCUCACCUCUGUAUCCAACAAGAUCAUGGAGUAGAUCCUCCUUAAAAAGUUUUCUAAGGCACAUGGAAAACAAGAAGGGAAUUUAUAACAGCUAGCAUGGCUUCACUAAGGGCAAAUUAUGCCUGGCAGAUUUGGUGGCCUUCUGUAACAGAGCUACAACACUAGGGAUAAAGGAAGACCAACUGAUACCAUCUACCUGGACUUGUGCAAAGCAUUAGACUGUCGCACAUGACAUCUUUAUUUCUGAAUUGGAGAGAUAUGGAUCCAAGUGAUGGACCACUUGGUAGAUAAGGAAUUAACUGGAUGGUCACACUUAAAGAGUUGUGUCAACCACAUGAUAUCCUGUUGAAGACUAGUAUUCCUCGGAGAUCAGUACUGGGACCAACACUGUUUAACAUCUUUGUCGGUGACAUAGGCAGUGAGAUUGAGUUCACUGUCAGCAAAAUGUCGAUAACACCAAGCUGUAUGGUGUGGUUUGCAUACUGGAGGGAGGAGAUGCCAUCCAGAGGGACCUUGGCCGACUUGGGGGGUAGGCUUGUGCAAACACCAUGAAGUUCAACAAGGCCAAGUGUAAGUUUCUGCACCUGGUCUGGGGCAAUCCCAAGCACAGAUAUGGGGUGGGCAAAGAAUAGUUCAGAGUAGACAUGAGGAGAAUGGUGUUGGUUAAUGAGAGACUCAUCCAGUACUGGCAAUGUGCACAUGUAGUCUGAAAAAACAAAUGUAUCACAGACUGCAGUAAAAGAAGAGUGGCCAGGUGGUUAAAUUAGGUGGUUCUCCCCCUCUGCUCCACUCACAUUAACCCCCAUCUGGAGUACUGUAUUCAGCUCAGUGAUUCCCAACAUAAGAAGAACAUAGACCCAUUGAUGUGAGUCCAGAGGAGAGAUACAAGGAUGAUCAGAGGGCCAGGACAUUUGUCCUACAGAGACAGAUUGAGAGAGAGUUGGGGUUGUUCAUCCUGAAGAAAAGAAUGCUGCAGGGAAACCUUACAGCAGCUUUCCAGUACUUAAAGGGGCCUACAAGAAAACUGAAGGGACUAUUUAUGAGGGAGUGUAGUAAUAGAACAAAGGGUAAUGGCUAUAAAGUAAAAGAGGGUAGAUUUAGAUUAAAUAUAAUGAAGAAAUUCUUCACUAGAAGUGUGGUGAGGCAUGGGAACAGGCAGCCUAGAGAAGAUGUGAAUGAUCGAUCCCUGGAAAUUUUUAAGGCCAGGGACCGAGUGGGACUUCAGGCGACCUGAUCUAGUGGAAGGUGUCCCUAACCCUGGCAGGGUCACAGGAAGAUAGUGAAUGGUUCUCAUCCAGAAUGUCUUAGUACAGGAUAAGAUACCAUCUUACUUGGUGGAAUGAAUAUAUUUGAACCUCCAAGCAGCCUUUAAAUUGGAACAGAACGUAAGCAUGUUUUUUGAAGGCCCAAUGGUGAGAGUAAAUGGAAGGAAGACUACAGAUCUUGUUUACUUUGCAAGUGUGACACAAUACCAAAAAGAUCUUUUAAAUUCAACAUGCAUUCUGCUUCUUUUUUGAAGAAAAGGGUCUGGUUUAGAAAAAACAUAUUUAUUUUCAUUCAGAUCUUGCUUGUUUGAUAUGACAGAAGGAAG